GAUGAACGCUGGCGGCGUGCCUAAUACAUGCAAGUCGAGCGAACAGACGAGGAGCUUGCUCCUCUGACGUUAGCGGCGGACGGGUGAGUAACACGUGGAUAACCUACCUAUAAGACUGGGAUAACUUCGGGAAACCGGAGCUAAUACCGGAUAAUAUAUUGAACCGCAUGGUUCAAUAGUGAAAGACGGUUUUGCUGUCACUUAUAGAUGGAUCCGCGCCGCAUUAGCUAGUUGGUAAGGUAACGGCUUACCAAGGCAACGAUGCGUAGCCGACCUGAGAGGGUGAUCGGCCACACUGGAACUGAGACACGGUCCAGACUCCUACGGGAGGCAGCAGUAGGGAAUUUUCCGCAAUGGGCGAAAGCCUGACGGAGCAACGCCGCGUGAGUGAUGAAGGUCUUCGGAUCGUAAAACUCUGUUAUUGGGGAAGAACAAAUGUGUAAGUAACUAUGCACGUCUUGACGGUACCUAAUCAGAAAGCCACGGCUAACUACGUG
rnacentral:rRNA from 1 species